AAGUCGUAACAAGGUUUCCGUAGGUGAACCUGCGGAAGGAUCAUUAAAACGUAUCCAACGUUAACUAAUAGUGAACUCGUCUCCUCCCUUAGCAUUGAGAAAUUGGAACAGUGAUCGGCAUUGAUUGGGAGCUGUAACAGGUUCGGUCUUUCACAGCCACUGCAUAUCUUUUUGGAUAUGUGACAAUAGUAUCCGUGUUAAGGCUUUUUCUUUCUGUCGCCACUCUCCAUCAAGAGUGAGGCAGACGGAGUGUAUACUAACCAUUUUCACCCCCUUUUUGCUAGUUGACUUUUUUAAUGUUAAUUUUUACGAAAGUAGAAGUUACACGUUUCAUUAUUUGAACGUAAAAUACAACUCUUAGCAAUGGAUAUCUAGGUUCUC
rnacentral:misc_RNA from 1 species